UAAUAACAUCUCUCACAUUUUAUCACACGCUCUGUGGUUCUGUACACGAGAAGCCAAGCCCCAAUGGCCAUUUGUGGCACCCUCCGCCGUACAAGCAGCCACGUCUCCAGACAUCUCCUCCGCAACUUCUCCACUACUUCCAAUCCGCCCUCCCACCGCAACAACCACCAACACACCCACGAGUUCCUGCAGCCCAAUGACUUCGUUGGCAGCUGGUGGCACUCCGACCCUCCCAAGGACCCCAAGGAUGCCCAGCGCAGGCUCGCUCUGCUCCGCCGCGACUACGCCAAGCAGGUCAAACUGAUCCGCAAGGAGUAUAUUCACGAGGUCGAGCUCAUGCGCCUCGAGCAGCAGCGCAAGGACGAGGCCCACAGGGAAGCGCUUAGGCUCGCCAUUGAGGAAAAGAAAAAGCUCAAGGCUGAGGCCGCCAAGCUCCGAGCCCAGGAGCGCAAGGCCGCCCUUGAAGAGUUCCGCCAAACCCUUGCUUUAAUCACUGACUAGGCUCCCCACUAAACCCGAUAAGGUGGACUGUGUCCUGGCCUGGCUUCUACUACCAUCCUGCUUUUCCAUCUAAGGUAGGUAGCACCUUCACCGUCAAUGUUUAUUGCAGAAUAUAAACAUAAAUUUGCAUAUGAUAUUUUCCUGUUUAGCAUGUGAAUUUGAAAUAAACUAGUUUUGGUUAUUUAUCCUUUUGAAGGUCCUAUGUUCCUUCCAAGUAAUUUUAAGAGAUUAUCGAGUAAUGUAGGAAGUUUCUGUGCCAAUGCAACUGUUUGUGCUAUUUUUGAAAAUCUGAUACGACAUGGUCAAAAGCUUGAUGCCAACCUCUGUAAGAAAGCGCAUGUGUGUACUUACAUGUAUGCAUGACAGAUAUGAUGAUUUUGAUCAUUAGGCAUCCAUCUUGUUUGUGAACUGUAUACACUUGAACUCAACAAUCCAAGUCUACCACAUGUUAUGUUUGGGGCAGAAUUGUAAAUAUAUCUCCUACUUCAUUUGUGUCCAAACAAACAGAAGUUAUGUUCUCUUACUUCCCUUUUUUGACCUACUAUGUUAUAUAUAUAUAUAUUUUGGUUGGUAUAAAUGCAGUUGAAAGAAAGAACUGAGAAACUU